rnacentral:rRNA from 1 species
UACGGGGGGAGCAAGCGUUGUUCGGAUUUACUGGGCGUAAAGGGCGCGUAGGCGGCCAGCACAAGUCAGUUGUGAAAUCUCCGAGCUUAACCCGGAAAGGUCAACUGAUACUGCGGGGCUAGAGUGCAGAAGGGGCAACUGGAAUUCUCGGUGUAGCGGUGAAAUGCGUAGAUAUCGAGAGGAACACCUGCGGCGAAGGCGGGUUGCUGGGCUGAUACUGACGCUGAGGCGCGAAAGCCAGGGGAGCGAACGGG